rnacentral:rRNA from 1 species
AUACGGAGGAUGCAAGCGUUAUCCGGAUUUAUUGGGUUUAAAGGGCGCGUAGGCGGGCAGGCAAGUCAGAUGUGAAAUCUCCGGGCUCAACCCGGAAAUUGCAUUUGAAACUGCAGGUCUUGAGUAUCGGAGAGGCAAGCGGAAUUCCUAGUGUAGCGGUGAAAUGCGUAGAUAUUAGGAGGAACACCAGUGGCGAAGGCGACUUACUGGACUGUAACUGACGCUGAGGCGCGAAAGUGUGGGGAGCAAACAGGAUUAGAUACCCUGGUAGUCCGCACUGUAAACGAUGAAUGCUAGGUGUAGGGGGUAUCGACCCCUUCUGUGCCGCAGUCAACACAAUAAGCAUUCCGCCUGGGGAGUACGGCCGCAAGGUUGAAACUCAAAUGAAUUGGCGGGG